CCCUUAGAUGUUCUGGGCCGCACGCGCGCUACACUGAUGCAUUCAACGAGUUUCUUCCUGGUCCGAGAGGAAUGGGUAACCUUUUGAAAGUGCAUCGUGAUAGGGAUAGACUAUUGCAAUUAUUGGUCUUCAACGAGGAAUUCCUAGUAGACGUAGUUCAUCAGACUGCAUCGAUUACGUCCCUGCCCUUUGUACACACCGCCCGUCGCACCUACCGAUUGAAUGGUUCGGUGAAGAUCUCGGACUUCGAUAUUUGUUCUUCAUUGAACUUAUAUUGUGGGAAGUUAUCUAAACCUCAUCAUUUAGAGGAAGGUGAAGUCGUAACA
rnacentral:rRNA from 1 species